rnacentral:rRNA from 1 species
AGUGAACGCUGGCGGCAGGCCUAACACAUGCAAGUCGAACGGCAGCAUAGUAAGGGCUUGCGCUUACGGGUGAACAGUGGCGUACGGGCUAGGAAUAAACCGGAAGCUACUUUUUCGUGGGGGGUAACGUAGGGAAAUUUACGCUAAUAUCGUAUACGACAUACUGGUGAAAUCCGGGGAUCUUCGGUCCAAGCGCGAUUGAAUGAGCCGAUGUCGGAUUAGCUAGUUGGCGGGAUAAAGGCCCACCAAGGCGACGAUCCGUAGCUGGUCUGAGAGGAUGAUCAGCCACACUGGAACUGAGACACGGUCCAGACUCCUACGGGAGGCAGCAGUGGGGAAUAUUGGACAAUGGGCGAAAGCCUGAUCCAGCCAUACCGCGUGGGGGAGGAAGGCCUUCGGGUUGUAAAGUCCUUUUGUAGGGAAAGAAAAGCAGCAGGUUAAUACCCAGCUGUUAUGACGGUACCCUAAGAAUAAGCACCGGCUAACUACGUG